rnacentral:lncRNA from 1 species
UCACUCUAAAAAACUAAUAAAUUUCUAACCGACAAGUGAGUUACAAUUACAUUUUAUUUUGAAUUUCAGUUAAAUUUGAAAACAUAAUUUGAACUCUAAAAAAACACAUUCACGCUUCAAAUAACAAGGAGGUUUAUAACACAUUUUUCCAAUCCACAUUUUUCAUUCAGUAUUCACUCAUUCAUAACAGAAAAUUCAGCUGAAAAGAAAAGCAUUACGCAACACAGAUCUUCAUCACAACAAAUUCAUCAAAACCGAUUCACUCAUUCAUCAGCAUAACAGAGAAAUCAAUCACAAACGCACGCAAUCUCACAAGAAUUCAAAAAUCAAAAUCCAACGGAGGGAGAAGAAGAGGAAGAAAUUGGAAAUCAAAUGGAAAAUUUGAUAUCUGUUCAAUUUGUUAAGUCCUCCGAUUCGUCUUCGAUACCGUUUGCGCAUACAAUAAUAGAACGAGUUGAGUUUGGCAAUGUGAAUCUUCGAAUCUUCGAAUUAAUGAUGGAAAGACGUGAAUCACAAAUUUCUGAACCGUGGAGUUUUGCUGAAACACGAUGAAUACAAAGCCGUGAGAAUGUUGAACGCGGUCGUGAACUUGCUCAGCUAUGGUGUUUUGGUCGCAUCGUGGAUUUUUCCGGAUAAGAUAUUUUCUUAUUGUGCUUCAGAUCACAUGAGAAAGAGAGUGAAGAAGACUCGGUUCUGGGUGUUGUUUCCAAGCUUUGGAUGUUUGGGCCUAAGGCCCAAACUAACCAGUCUCUGCUUACACACAUGCUUCAUGGGCCAGCACCUCCAUAAACCUCCUAAUUUAUUUUAUUUAAUUAUUUUCAUGUUAUUU